GAUAUCCCAGCCGGCACAUGACCGACCUUCAACGUUGAAAUAUGGUUGGAAAUAAGGUCAGUUGUGGUUUCAACGUUGAAACAACGUUGAUUCAACGUUUAAAGCUGAACGGUUGAAAAACUUUCGGCACAUGAUCAACCUUCAUAGUUGAAAUAUGGUUGAAAAAAUGACAGUUGUUGUUUCAACGUUGAAACAACAUUGAUACAACGUUUAAAGCUGAACGGUUGAAAAACUUCCGCUACACGACCAACCUUCAACGUUGAAAUAUGGUUGAAAUAAGGUCAGUUGUUUUAACUUUCAAACAACUUUGAAAAUGUUUAAUGCUAAAUGGUUGAAAAAGGUUAAUAAACUUUUAAAUUAUUUAUAUUAAAUUAAUAUUAUUAUUAUUUUAAUAGCAUUUUACAAUAUUUUAAUCAUGAUACCUAUUCUAAAAUCUAAAGGUAUAUGUUCUCAUCAUUAACAACAAUAAAACUAAAUACAUUUAGCUCCUUUAUCACACUGAAACAAUUCCUACUGGUUGUUUUACUUUAUUGCUUUGAUCAUGAUUGGUUAAUCUGGCUGUCAUCCAGGAAACUGGACAGUGAAUCGGUUCGCGCCUUUCUACAUUUGAAAAUAUGACCGUUAUUAUCGUUCUUUCUGUGAGUGAGGCGGCUGACUGUGAGCUGCUGCUAGUUGUAACUGCUCGGUCGGUCCCGAAUUAUUUUAUAUUUGCCUGUUAAUUUUUUUUUUUUUUUUGAGCGAAUUUGAGUCGUGACAUGUCAAUGGAGAACAAAAACUGUAAUGUGAACACAAGAAGUGGUGAGAUGUGUUCUGCGAGGUCCUGCAAACAUACUGGCAAAUUGAGGUAAGGAAAUCGCUAUCUUUAUUAUCUUUUGAAAAUAGUAAAGUAAGUUAUAUCGUUACGUUACCAGAGUUUACAAAUGGGUAGCUUAAAGGACAUGUAACCUGCAGAAGAUAAAUAAAUACCUGUGUGUGUAUUUUUGUAUUGUUUAUCACAGAUGCUCAAGUUAGAUGCUCAUCUGAUGUUGUUGUGUUGCUGGUAAAUUAUGUGUUAAUGUCUGUCUUUUAGAGAUUUUUCCCCAUUUUCCUGAUAUGAAUCCCAUGGAUUAGAGUCAUCAAGGAUCCAGCUUAUUAUUGAAACAUUGGACAGUAUAGAAAGCACACAAGUGGGAGAGCGUGGAGGGGACGGCAUCAGAAAGGACCAAGGGCUGGGACUCUUUCAAGGAUCACCUGAAGCACAACCACACUAUAUGCACGAGGCUGUUGGUUCUAACAUUUUAGGUUCCCCUUCGGUAGAAAUCACAUUCCGCAUUCACUGUGGUAAAAAAAGACACAGUCCGGGGGGGUUCCCGUUAGAAAUGCCCCCCCCCCUCGGGGUGCCCCCUUUAACGCUGGUUCCUUGGAAUUGUCCUAACCUUCCCUGCCCUUACAGCGUCCCUGGUUGCCGGUUCCAUUCUCGGAUUGUUCAACACAUUUUCACUGCACAAAUGUACACAUCUCUUGUAAUGAGACACAUUACUAAAACAUGUUUUUUGCAGAAACUGUAGUUUUCCACCAAAAUAAAAGAUCAGCUGGUUUCAGUCAUAAAGGU